rnacentral:rRNA from 1 species
CCUACGGGUGGCAGCAGUGAGGAAUAUUGGUCAAUGGGCGAGAGCCUGAACCAGCCAAGUCGCGUGAAGGAUGAAGGAUCUAUGGUUUGUAAACUUCUUUUAUAUGGGAAUAAAGUGAGGAACGUGAUCCUUUUUGUAUGUACCAUAUGAAUAAGCAUCGGCUAACUCCGUGCCAGCAGCCGCGGUAAUACGGAGGAUGCGAGCGUUAUCCGGAUUUAUUGGGUUUAACGGGUGCGUAGGUGGUUAAUUAAGUCAGCGGUGAAAGUUUGUGGCUCAACCAUAAAAUUGCCGUUGAAACUGGUUGACUUGAGUAUAUUUGAGGUAGGCGGAAUGCGUGGUGUAGCGGUGAAAUGCAUAGAUAUCACGCAGAACUCCGAUUGCGAAGGCAGCUUACUAAACUAUAACUGACACUGAGGCUCGAAAGCGUGGGGAGCAAACAGGAUUAGAUACCCGUGUAGUC